rnacentral:lncRNA from 1 species
CUAGGCCUCCCUGCUCUUCCUCGGACCUUUCAGGUGAGAAACUUUCCAUUGUUGCCUUAUCUUGCGGCAGUCCGCCCAGCCGCCUUGCAGCGACCACAGGUGCGCACAGAUCUGAGGCCCCGAUCUGUUCCACUCUUUGUGCCAAGCGGAGCCGGGGACGCGAACCCCAGCAUGAAACGGCGCCCACAACCACAAGGCCCGGUGUGCGCCCUCUGAAACUGUAGCUCCUGUACCUAAUGGCCUUAGGUCCUUGGAUGAGAAGAUACCCCUAGAGGCUAUUUGGUCCAGCCCUCUCCCUUACAACUAGAUGUGCAUGACCAUGAUGGAAGGAAAGGCAUGUCCUGAGUCCUUUGAAGACUGCCACAGGGCAAGAAUUCUCUGGGCAUGGAGUCUCUCCCGUAUACCACAGAGUUUCUUUGUUGCUGAAUCCAUCAGGUUUGCAUGGAAAACAAGCCUUCCUGGUGGAUGUUUUCACAGCUUAUGUGAGAAUUAGCAAAUACCAGAUCUCCACUUACCUGCUUGGAGUUCCCCCCAUCACCACACGAUUCCUUGCAGGUUGGGUAAGCAUCCUUCUUCCCUAGUUUCUCUUCUAAACUCCAAGUGCUCUUUGGGAAGGGGAACCGGCAGUCCUCCCAUUGC